rnacentral:rRNA from 1 species
UACGUAGGGAGCAAGCGUUGUCCGGAAUCAUUGGGCGUAAAGAGCGCGUAGGCGGUCCGAUAAGUCGGCUGUGAAAAGUCAAGGGCUCAACCCUUGAAAGCCGGCCGAUACUGUCGGACUAGAGUCCGGAAGAGGCAAGUGGAAUUCCCGGUGUAGCGGUGAAAUGCGCAGAUAUCGGGAGGAACACCAAUGGCGAAGGCAGCUUGCUGGGACGGUACUGACGCUGAGGCGCGAAAAGCGUGGGGGAGCAAACAGG